rnacentral:lncRNA from 1 species
UUGAUUUAAUUCAUGAGAAUGAGAUUUUAAUAUCAUGACUGAUAAUGGAUUACUGUAUAUUGCAACGCCUGGACAUACACAUGGUUUGGAUAUACUGAAGACAAAAGGAAUAAUAUAUGGGAAUGGAUAAGGCUGAUUUCCCCCUAUCCACAGCCACGCCUACUCCUAAAGUAACAUCGCGUACAUCCUUACUAUGCCCUUUUACUGUAGAAUUUCCCGAAUCCUAAUGACCCAUUCCACUACAUGGUGUGACUUGUUUAAGCCUAAGAUAAAUUGGCUGAUCAGGCUACCUGUAUUAACAAUGUCAUCAACGAUGAGUUAGCAUCUGUGGAGAAGCAUCACUUCAGGUUGUCCCAAAUUUUCUUUUAACUUAAGUUUUAGUACAUAGUAAGGCCCAUGCCCAAUAACUAUAUGCAGCCUUGUAUAGCAGGCCACAUGACAUCUAUUUGUACCAAGUAAGGCCUGCCUGACUCCUCAUUCCUGUCUAACAUUGUUGUCUCCUGCAUAAGUGUAGAUGGCUCUCCUUGGAGUAGCCUGUUAACUAAGCCUUGCUUUGUGGAUACCUUCACCUGUCCAAUUAAUCUGCUAGGUGCAGAUGUCCUUCCCCCACUUGCAGGCCCCUAUCACCUUAUUAUUUAUUUUGUUCCACACAGUGAAACCUGACCAAGAGGCAAGGGUCCUAGCUAGUUCCCCCAAUACCUUUACCUGAAUUAUACAGGCCCCAAAGCCUGUCCAAGCUCUUACUAUUCCCUAACAGGUUAAGGCUCUGGUGUCGAAUGUUGCCCUGGUUACCUGAGACUUUCCAUGCAAUAUCCCACCUCUCCUUGUGAUGGACGAAUUCUGUGCAGGAUAAUGUCACCCUGCAGGGAUGAUACUCUAUUUACCUGGCCACUCUUCUGCCACUUCCCAAGGGGGGAAAUGAUAAGACACUGACUAUUAUUUUUUUUUUAGCCUUUUUCUUAUGUUCUGUUCCGGAUUUGCUGUCACUACAGUGGACCAAGUAUCUCACCUCAACAAUGUCUGCACAAGAAGCUGAGCUAUAGACUCCCAUCACACCAUGCAAGAUCUCUGAAGGAAGACUGAACUCAGAG